GGGCCUGUAGCUCAGUGGAUUAGAGCACGUGGCUACGAACCACGAUGUCGGGGGUUCGAAUCCCCCCUCGCCCA
rnacentral:tRNA from 8 species